rnacentral:rRNA from 1 species
GUAGUUAGCCGGAGCUUCCUCGUAGGGUACCGUCAUCUACUCGUCCCCUACAACAGAGGUUUACGAUCCGAAAACCUUCUUCCCUCACGCGGCGUUGCUGGGUCAGGCUUUCGCCCAUUGCCCAAUAUUCCCCACUGCUGCCUCCCGUAGGAGUCUGGACCGUUUCUCAGUUCCAAUGUGGCCGGUCAUCCUCUCAGAUCGGCUACCCAUCGUUGACUUGGUGGGCCGUUACCUCACCAACUAUCUAAUGGGACGCGAGCUCACCCUUCCGCGGAUUCCUCCUUUGACCCCUUCGGCAUGUGCCGCUGUGGUCUCAUGCGGUAUUAGCAACUGUUUCCAGUUGUUAUCCCCCUCGGAAGGACAGAUUGCUCACGCGUUACGCACCCGUCCGCCACUAAAAUAUACUCGGAUUGCUCCUCGUAUAUCUCCGUUCGACUUGCAUGUGUUAAGCACGCCGCCAGCGUUCGUCCUGAGCCAUGAUCAAACUCUGA